CACUUGGUAGCACAUGGUGUGCACCUGCUUAACCUACAUUGGAUAACAUGUAGUUUAUGCAGGAGGUUCCGGUUCGAUUCCGGGUUAAGUGA